rnacentral:rRNA from 1 species
GAUGAACGCUAGCGGCAGGCUUAAUACAUGCAAGUCGUGGGGCAGCAUGAAGUAGCAAUACUUUGAUGGCGACCGGCAAACGGGUGCGGAACACGUACACAACCUUCCUUUUAGUGGGGAAUAGCCCAGAGAAAUUUGGAUUAAUACCCCGUAACAUAGCGAUGUGGCAUCACAUUGCUAUUAUAGCUUCGGCGCUAGAUGAUGGGUGUGCGUAUGAUUAGAUAGUUGGCGAGGUAACGGCUCACCAAGUCUACGAUCAUUAGCUGAUGUGGGAGCAUGAUCAGCCACACGGGCACUGGGACACGGGCCCGACUCCUACGGGAGGCAGCAGUAAGGAAUAUUGGUCAAUGGACGAAAGUCUGAACCAGCCAUGCCGCGUGAAGGAUUAAGGUCCUCUGGAUUGUAAACUUCUUUUAUAUGGGACGAAAAAAGGUCUUUCUAGAUCACUUGACGGUACCAUAUGAAUAAGCACCGGCUAACUCCGUGCCAGCCGCCGCCGUAACAC